rnacentral:pre_miRNA from 15 species
CCUUUCCCAAGUCACUGCACCUUGCUCUGGCUGGUCAAACGGAACCAAGUCCGUCUGACUGAGAGGUUUGGUCCCCUUCAACCAGCUACAGCAGGGCUGACAUCACCCAGGACCAGG